ensembl:lncRNA
UGGCGAGAAUGUGUACAAACCUGUCCCUGCCACAAAUAUCAAAUUCUAGUUCUAAAGACUGUUGCAGAAAAGAAGAUUCUUCCAAGCCAACACUGAGCGUGAUCUGGCAUUUACACUUUUUAAAAUUACUCUCUCUUUCUGAGAGAGAGAGAGAGAAAAAAGAAAAAUCAAAAAAAAAAAAAAUACCACGUUUUAACCAAAAGAGCUUAAGGAAUAAACUGCCCCGGGUCGGAUGACUUACUCUACCUAAGACGGAUUUUCAAAGGGACCUCUCUGGAGAGUCCGGGUCACAGUAGGGCUCAAGGAGGGAGUCAGUGAGGAUCAAAGUUGCCGUGGGGGAGGGUGGUAUGGACGACGAUCAAAGAGACACAGAUACCAGUAACCGGGAAUGCCUCCCCACAGUACCCAAAAUCAGAACUUGCAGAGUGAGAGGCUGUUUGGAUUUGAAGUGAGUAAAUAAAACGGCUGUGCUAGGGCUACGUGCUCCGGAGGGUGGCCCCAAGUUCCAAGAAGGUUCCGCCUGGGAAAGCCAAAGGAGCUCGGAGGGCCGCCAGGUCAAGUCCCAACGGGAACUAACAGGGAAGCCCCGGGGGGGCGAGAGGGGUGUGUCAAGGGCCCAGAGGCCCGCUGGGGCCGGGAAGCCAGGAAAGCGGCCACUGCCUCCGCCUUCACCCGACCUCGGGCGGCGAGCCAGGGCCCGCCUCUCACCGACGCCUCACUUCCCUUCCGCCCGGGCGACCGGGCCCGCGGGCCGGACUGGAGACCGCCGCGCCGGACCUCCACGUCCGGAGGUUGGGGUUUCCGUCCCAGCGCCUCCCGCUGCUGCCUCAGGCCCUCCGCUCGGGUUUGGGGACCCCGGGAUCCCCUUCUUCCCGACCCUCAGCCCAGCCCCGCCGCUCCGCCUCCCACCCGCCGCCUUUACCUGCUCCAGAAGCAGGCGGAGGGCGUCGAGGCCGGGGCCGCGUCGUCGAGUGUGCGACGCGGCGCCGCGGGUCCGCAGCCCUUUCCCGCCGCCACCACAGCGCUCUCCGGCGCGGCGCAGGGCUGGCGAGCGCGACGGCCGCCGGGGGGAGACGCGCGGCGGGCGCCUGGCGGGGAGACACUGCCGCUCUCCGUCCGGCCGGGGAAGAGCAGCCUCACAGCAGCCAGCCGCGAGAGGGCGGGUGGGCGGCCGAAUGGGGAGGGGUCUCGGAGAGCAGGGAAGGGCUGCCACGUCGCCCAGGUGGAUCGCUGCUCUCCGCCUCCCCCGCCCCCGCCGGCUUCGGGCCGCGACCUCUGGUUCGUUCUCGGGCUCAGGUGGGGCGCGUCGGCCCGCCCCGCCUUGGUGGCCCCGGUGACCCCGGCCCGCAGGCUCCCGCCUCUCCGUCUCCCCUCAGUGAGCAGGUCCCGGCCUGGCCCAUUCUGCCUUAUCGGGCCCGCCCUCCCCCGCCUCGAGCGAAAGCCUGACGUGUUUCUCCCUUCCCUUGUCAUGGGGUCACACGGAGGAGCAAGCCCUUUCCAAUGUGUCGGGGUUUCGAGGAAGGCGGGAGUCGUUGUGAGCUAGGGAACGCAGCAAUAGGGGCCUGAAAUUUCUGCGGAAAUAAACUGCGCGAUAACCACAGCCGUGCCUAAAGCCUCUUUCACUCUCUCCCAAUCCCCCAAAAGCAAAAACAGAAACACAAGGUCGUACUCGCUGGUCGCGGCGGGCCCGCCAGGUCGCGGGUCCCGGCGGCAAGUUGAGAACGACCGCGAGGCGGACCAGGCGGCCUCGGCGUAGCCUAACUGGGCAGUUGACUCUGGGCGAGCGAGGCCACGGCGGCGGCUGGCGCGCGAACCCCGCCUCCGCGCGCGCCGAGCUGUCCGCGGGAGGUUUCCGGGCGCGCGGCCCGCUGCCCCUCUGCGCGCUCGGGAGUCGGACGCAGCGUGGCCGCUUUGGAGCCGGGAGACAAAGAGGUUGGCCGCGGUCGCGGCAGGGACGGAGGUCUGCCUAGCACCAACCGGCGCGGCCCAUGUGCCUUCUGAACAAGCUGAUGGAAGCACAAAAAACAGAGCUUGUUUGCAACGUAGGACCGCAGGCGCUGACCUUUGCCCUGCUUAGAGCUUCAGUUUUCAGGUGCCGAGAAAAAGGAAGGAGGUUUUCUUCGCUUUUGCGAUCUCUGUGUUGUUAGAUUGUCACCCAAGCCUGCUCCAUUUUUUUUUCCUCCUAAAUUCUACCUUCCUUGGUUUCCUGCUAUGUGUUCUAUCGUGAAAUGUUCAGUGUUUUCGGGUACACGAAUUUUUUCCCCCUUGUUUUCUGAUAGUGGUGAUUAUGGUUAAAUUCGUUUUUUGCCCCGCCCUCUGUUCCCUUCUCUUUGCAAUUACUUUUUGUUCCGUCGUCAGUGUUUUUCGUAGAGAAACGAAAUAGUCCCCGGACAGACAUGGAAGAGACAGUCUGUCGAUGUUGUUAUAGUAAUUGCUUUAAACUGAAUGGAAAUUUGGGAGGAAAUGACUUUCCUAGUGGUCCAGUGGUUAAGAGUUCACCUGCCAGGGUUGGAUCCCUGGUCUAGGAAGAUUCUACAUGCGUCCAGGCAGCUAGUGGUCCACAAGUACUGAGCCCUCCCACCUAGACCCUGUGCUCCACCACACGAGAAGCCACUGCAGUGAGAAGCCUUCACACUGCAAUGAAGAGUAGCCUCCACCACCACCAAAACUAGAGAAAGCCCGAGCACAGCAAUGAAGACCCACUGCAGCCAAAAAAAAUUACAUUUUUAAAAAUAAAAACUAGAAGUUUACCCAUCUAAUUCUUCUUGCUCCAGAUUUCAUUUUACC